GGUAAGGUGGUUCAGUGGUAGAGUGCUUGCCUUGCAUGCAUGAGGCCCUGGGUUCGAUUCCUCAGCACCA
rfam:Dipodomys ordii contig_63045, whole genome shotgun sequence.